GUCACCAUCCCCCCAUUUUACUCCGAAUUGAACCGGAGUGGGCUCAUUUUUUAGUGCUUCGUUUGUGCAGACACAGUCUUCACUAUAUUUGCCAGGUCAUCAUAAAGCUCCCACACACAUGGAGCUCUUCGGCAGUAUGCAAUGUAAUGUCCCAGACCAUCUUUAGUCAAGCUUCCCUUGAAAGCGAUGACUCCUCUCAAAGAGAAUGUAUUUCCUUGGAGAGCAACAGUGGGGGGAAAUUCACUCAAAGGAAACUGAGUUGUGUUUGCAAGUGGGCGAAGGCAGGGAGACUCCGGAAGGAAGAGUCCAUUUUCCACUGAAAUGUCAAGCUGAGCCAUGCCACAGUCCAUCAGCACAGAAAUGUCAGGAGAAACAAAUGUGGCUGAGCUUGCUGUGAGGUUGGUGCUUUUGAAGAGGGGGACCAUUACUCCUGUCCAAAGUGCCGCGUAGAUAUUUUUUGCACAUCUCUGAUUCGAGAGGGACUCCAGAACUAUCAUCACCCUCUGCCUCACUGAGGGCCACAACAGUGAUGGCAUGUAUUAGCUGUUUUGCAUGGUCCAAGCACUGUGAUUGAAGAAGCUUUGCUAUUGCCCUGACAAAGAAAUCUUUGACACGGUGUGACUUGUU